rnacentral:rRNA from 1 species
GACGAACGCUGGCGGCGUGCUUAACACAUGCAAGUCGAACGAAGAGCGAUGGAAGCUUGCUUCUAUCAAUCUUAGUGGCGAACGGGUGAGUAACGCGUAAUCAACCUGCCCUUCAGAGGGGGACAACAGUUGGAAACGACUGCUAAUACCGCAUACGAUCUAAUCUCGGCAUCGAGGAUAGAUGAAAGGUGGCCUCUACAUGUAAGCUAUCACUGAAGGAGGGGAUUGCGUCUGAUUAGCUAGUUGGAGGGGUAACGGCCCACCAAGGCGAUGAUCAGUAGCCGGUCUGAGAGGAUGAACGGCCACAUUGGGACUGAGACACGGCCCAGACUCCUACGGGAGGCAGCAGUGGGGAAUCUUCCGCAAUGGACGAAAGUCUGACGGAGCAACGCCGCGUGAGUGAUGA